rnacentral:lncRNA from 1 species
CAAUCACUAGAACCUAAAAUAGAAAAUUACGAUUCUCUAUAAGCUACUAAAUAUAAAAUUACACUACAACAGAAUUAGAUUAUAGGGACAUAUUUUUUAGACACUUUUGUGUAAGUAUCUUACUUAUUCCAAAACUUUUUUAAAAAAUCUACUAUGAUCUAAAUAUAAAGCUCAAUUCAACCAAAAACAAAAAGUUCCUUGUAAUGUACCGGAUUUUAAUAUAAAAGUAAGUAUAAAUAAAAAUAGUGUAAGAUACUAUUUUUAUUGGACUUAAAAAAGUGAAAUAUAAGUCGGAAAUAACUUGUACUGAAAUUGGAAUGAAAACAGAAGAUUUAGAAUUUUCUGUAAGAAACGAGACUGAUCUUUUAGCAAAAAAUUCACAGUGUCAGAAAAUUGUAAAAAAUUGAGAAUAUGUUGGAAUUAUUUUUAUGAGGCUAGAUUUAAAGUUUCACAUCAUUCCGACACCCGAAAAGUGAAAAAUAAAAUCUGACUGCUAUCUGCUAGAGAUUUUAGUUGGUGAGCUUUCGGUAACAAAAAAUAGUCGAAACUGAAAAGUUAAGAUUUCGUUCUUCUUGUUAAGUUAAACCAAGCCUGACUGUCAAAUUUGAGAGCAAAUGGACAAUUUUAGAGUGUGUUGGGA